UUUUAGUAUAAACAUUUUGAUAACUUACUGUAAACUACUAGUUCUAAUUUUGAAUUAGGUACAACAACAUUUUCAAAAGAAGGAUUUUAUUAUGUUUAAUAUCAAAAGAAAAAUGGAGAAAAACAAUUAAACCGGACUUUUUGCCUCGGACGUUUCCUCUUCGUAAAACACUAUUAUAGGUAAACGACACACUCUACACUCUACGUUUAAUGCUCCCGGAGUAUGCGGGAUACCUACCACACGACACACACACGAAAUGUCUACAUAAUGUACCUACUAUUAUGUAUUUUAUGUAUAAAAACGCAUUACAAUUGAUAUUCCAAUAAUACAGUUAUAAAAUGUUAACUACCCGUGUAAUCGAUGCAAUAAUGCGAUUAUGUGCGACUAUCGGAAUAAUUUGUCCUGGUACCUAUGUACGUUUCCCGAGUAUAACUUACAAAAACCAUAUACGGCACAAAACAUAAGUACAGGUAUAUAUAAUAUAUAUUGCAUAACAUAAUACUAUAUAUUUUAUAUAGGCAUUAUUAUAAAAUGUACGGGUAACUUUAGGUCUACGUAUCAUGUUAUGUACGCUUCCUCGU